UGCGUAGGUGGUGAGGUAAGUCGGAUGUGAAAUCUCCGGGCUCAACCCGGAAAUGGCAUUGGAAACUACCUUGCUGGGGGAUUUGAGGGGGGAUUGGAAUACUUGGUGUAGCAGUGAAAUGCGUAGAUAUCAAGUGGAACACCAGUGGCGAAGGCGAAUCCCUGGAAAAUACCUGACACUGAGGCACGAAAGCUAGGGGAGCAAACA
rnacentral:rRNA from 1 species